rnacentral:lncRNA from 1 species
AGUGGCUAGGACAGGGGUGCAGGGAUCCUCCAGACACUCACCCGAUGCCCGUGAAGCUGACCCGUAAGCCCACUAUCUGGCAGAGCCCAUCCUGAGGCCCGAGUGCUUGUCCUUCGCCGUGGCCUUCGCCUGGGGCGGGUUUCCACUCCUCUGCACCUCUGCCUUUCUGUUCUGCAUUCCAUUCGGGGUCUGGGCUGACAGAUUCCUGCCUCCUUGCAGGAGUAGGCGCCCCCAAAGACUGCAGGGGUGGGGUAAGGUGUUUACCCCCCUCCUGAGUAGCAAUGCCCUGCUUCUUUUCCCAAGAGUGUGUCUACCCCAGCCAUACAGGAGAGAGAUUUGAGCCAAUUAUCCAGAGAAUUUGCUCUCACUAGGCAGCAAAUUCGAUUUUUUUCUGAACACCUAGACACACAUAAACACAGCUGGUUUGCAGAAAGGGGAGGUAGGAACUAAAUUCAUUGGUCCUUAGGCCAGAGUGCCUUUCCAUUCGAGGGGAGAACCAGGGAUGUGGGUAAGUGAAACACAAAUCCCCGAAAAAUUGAAAACAACCCCCACUACACCCACCUAAAACUAACAGACCAUAGAACUUUCUAGAAAGGGGUUGGACAGAGCUGACCCGCCUGCAGCGCACAGAAUCCCUAGCACUAGAGAGGGGAAAGGACUCUGGUCGCCCUGCCAUCGCCACAGUCAGGUAGGAACUUGCACAAUUUCCUCGGCUGUGGAGCACACAACCCUUGCGGUACAGACAGCCCCUUUCCUCCAAGGUCCAUCAAGUCAAUAAAGCCCUCCUCUUUAGCCCGCUGCCUCCCAAACCGAGUGUGGCUGG